rnacentral:rRNA from 1 species
GUAGGUGGCAAGCGUUGUCCGGAAUUAUUGGGCGUAAAGCGCGCGCAGGCGGUCCUUUAAGUCUGAUGUGAAAGCCCACGGCUCAACCGUGGAGGGUCAUUGGAAACUGGGGGACUUGAGUACAGAAGAGGAAAGCGGAAUUCCAAGUGUAGCGGUGAAAUGCGUAGAGAUUUGGAGGAACACCUGUGGCGAAGGCGGCUUUCUGGUCUGUAACUGACGCUGAGGCGCGAAAGCGUGGGGAGCAAACAGGGAUUAGAUACCCUGGUAGUCCACGCCGUAAACGAUGAGUGCUAAGUGUUAGGGGGUUUCCCGCCCCUUAGUGCUGCAGCUAACGCAUUAAGCACUCCGCCUGGGGAUACGGCCGCAAGGCUG